AACGAACGCUGGCGGCAGGCCUAACACAUGCAAGUCGAACGCACCGCAAGGUGAGUGGCGCACGGGUGAGUAACACGUGGGAAUGUACCCUUUGGUUCGGAAUAACGUCUGGAAACGGACGCUAAUACCGGAUGAGCCCUGCGGGGGAAAGAUUUAUCGCCAAAGGAGCAGCCCGCGUCUGAUUAGCUAGUUGGUGGGGUAAAGGCCUACCAAGGCGACGAUCAGUAGCUGGUCUGAGAGGAUGAUCAGCCACACUGGGACUGAGACACGGCCCAGACUCCUACGGGAGGCAGCAGUGGGGAAUAUUGGACAAUGGGCGGAAGCCUGAUCCAGCCAUGCCGCGUGAGUGAUGAAGGCCUUCGGGUUGUAAAGCUCUUUCGCACGCGACGAUGAUGACGGUAGCGUGAGAAUAAGCACCGGCUAACUCUGUGCCAGCCGCCGCCGUAACAC
rnacentral:rRNA from 1 species